rnacentral:rRNA from 1 species
AUUCCAGCUCCAAUAGCGUAUAUUAAAGUUGUUGCGGUUAAAAAGCUCGUAGUUGGAUCUCGGCAGCCAGGGGGCGGUUCGCUCCAAAGCGUGACUGCCCCAUUUGGCUGUGUGAUUGGCGGAGGUUCCGGGGUGCUCUUCGUUGAGUGUCCCGGUGCGCCGUCAGGUUUACUUUGAAAAAAUUAGAGUGCUCAAAGCAGGCUUUUCAGGCUUGAAUAUUCGUGCAUGGAAUAAUGGAAUAGGAACUCGUUCCUAUUUUGUUGGUUUUCGGGAAUCGAGUUAAUGAUUAAUAGGGACAAUUGGGGGCAUUAGUAUUCAAACGACAGAGGUGAAAUUCUUGGACCGUUUGAAGACUAACUACUGCGAAAGCAUUUGCCAAGAGUGUUUUCAUUAAUCAAGAACGAAAGUUAGAGGUUCGAAGGCGAUCAGAUACCGCCCUAGUUCUAACCAUAAACGAUGCCAGCUAGCGAUCUGCCUGCGUUUUUACUGUAGACUGGGCAGGAAGCUUCCGGGAAACCAAAGCAUUUGGGUUCCAGGGGAAGUAUGGUUGCAAAGCUGAAACUUAAAGGAAUUGACGGAAGGGCACCACCAGGAGUGGAGCCUGUGGCUUAAUUUGACUCAACACGGGAAAUCUCACCAGGCCCGGACACUGGAAGGAUUGACAGAUUGAUAGCUC